AGGUGAUAGCAUGUGGUGAGCUCGCUUCCAGAUCUGUGUUUACAAUAGCGCCGGUGGCAACGCCCUGAGAUGUCUGCUGGCCUAUCCCAGAGUGCUUGAACAGAGGUGCGGAAUCUGAAACCGUGGCAGUCGAUUCACAGGGUAAACGUCUGAGCGUUCUUCAGGAUCACAUUCCGCAGUUCGUUCCUUCAGACAUCAGUCAAGAAGCGGGUGGUUUUUGGACGAGGAGACCUCUGUUGUGUAUUAAGGAAUGCUAUGGAGGAUACAUGGACUUGGACGUAACUCGCCUCAGCGACCAACAGGCGACAUACUUUGAGG